UACGGAGGGUGCAAGCGUUAAUCGGAAUGACUGGGCGUAAAGGGUGCGUAGGUGGUUUAUUAAGUUAUAGGUGAAAUCACUGGGCUUAACCUGGUGCGGAAUUAUAAUACUGAUAGACUCGAGGACAGGAGAGGGUAGUGGAAUUUCCGGUGUAGCGGUGAAAUGCGUAGAGAUCGGAAGGAACACCAGUUGCGAAGGCGACCACCUGGACUGAUACUGACACUGAGGUGCGAAAGCGUGGGGAGCAAACAGG
rnacentral:rRNA from 1 species